CUUGGAGCCAGAGUCAGUCCUCCCGGAAGGGAGUUGAUGUAUCUUUUGUCCAGUUCUGGUGGAAAGCUGGCCUCAGGCCGGCAAUCCGGCCAACGUCCGAGGGGCUGUAGGCCCCGGUGGCUGUACACCUUGUCAGCUCUCUUGCUGCUGUGCUGACUCAGUCUCCUCCCACAGAAAUCCUUAGAAGAGGCCUGCCCGAGAUCCAGCGCCUCAGCACAGCGAUAGGGGACACACCCCACGACCCUACAGUUCUCUACUAGAACGGACACAUAAAAUGACAGCUUCUCUUUCCGUAAGUCACAUGAAAAAUGCACAGAGACAGCAAUGUUGAAACUGAAGAAGUGGAUAAUAUAUGAGAUACUCAAUGAAAGAAAUUGGUAAGUGAUAUUAAUAUCAGACAAACAGACUAAGACAAAAAUAAAGCAUUACCAGGAGCUAGAGAGUAACUAUGCAGUCAGUUAAGGGACAGGAGUAAUAUUUUUGGCAUUUUUGCCUUUUUAUUUCUUGUUCUUCACUGCAACAAAGCUGUUAACCUUGUACAGUUCCCACUGCUGUUGGUAAUUCGGCCACACAUACAUUCUGGUGUUUUGCAAGAAUUCCUUAUCAAUAUGUUGCCAUAUCUGUGAGUUUUUCCUUUAUUAUCCUUGUUGGUCUGUUUAAAAGAAGAGUUUGGGGAAUUUUAAAAAUUCAGCUGUCAUCACAUUCAUGUUACACCCAUUUUGAAGUCACUUGUUUCCUACUUAACUAUGAGAUUUUUUUUCCCCAGAUGAAAUCUUGCUUUGUCACCAGGCUGCAGCACAGUGGUGCAAUCU